rnacentral:rRNA from 1 species
AUUGAACGCUGGCGGCAGGCCUAACACAUGCAAGUCGAGCGGAGCGGCGGACGGGUGAGUAAUGCCUAGGAAUCUGCCUGGUAGUGGGGGAUAACGUCCGGAAACGGGCGCUAAUACCGCAUACUAUCAGAUGAGCCUAGGUCGGAUUAGCUAGUUGGUUGUGUAAAUGCCUACCAAGGCGACGAUCCGUAACUGGUCUGAGAGGAGGAUCAUUCAAACUGGAACGGAGACACGGGCAAGAAUCCUACGGGAGGCAGCAGUGGGGAAUCUUGGACAAUGGGCGAAAGCCUGAGCCAGCGAUGCCGCGUGUGUGAAGAAGGUCUUCGGAUUGUAAAGCACGUUAAGUUGGGAGGCGUUACCAACAGAGUAAGCACCGGAUAACUUCGUGCCAGCAGCCGCGGUAAUAC